ensembl:snRNA U4 U4 spliceosomal RNA
AGCUUUGCAUAGUGGCAGUAUUGUAGCCAGUGAGGUUUAUGCAAGGAGCGAUUAUUGCUAAUUGAAAACUUCUCCUAAAUUAUUAGUUGUUACUAGUAAAACAGAGUGCACUUAUAACUAUUUUUGGCUUGAUCUACUUUA